UACAGAGGUCCCGAGCGUUGUUCGGAUUCACUGGGCGUAAAGGGUGCGUAGGCGGGUCUUUAAGUCAGGGGUGAAAUCCUGGAGCUCAACUCCAGAACUGCCUUUGAUACUGAAGAUCUUGAGUUCGGGAGAGGUGAGUGGAACUGCGAGUGUAGAGGUGAAAUUCGUAGAUAUUCGCAAGAACACCAGUGGCGAAGGCGGCUCACUGGCCCGAUACUGACGCUGAGGCACGAAAGCAUGGGGAUCAAACAGG
rnacentral:rRNA from 1 species